rnacentral:rRNA from 1 species
CAAUAGCGUAUAUUAAAGUUGUUGCAGUUAAAAAGCUCGUAGUUGGAUUUCUGAGAGGAUGCCAAUGUCCUUCUGUGUAAGUGUGCAGCGGCGUCUUUUCAUCCUUCUGUUAACACCUCUUGGCAUUCGUUUGCUGGUGGUGGGCUCAGAUAUUUUACCUUGAGAAAAUUAGAGUGUUUCAGGCAGGCUAGGCCGGAAUACAUUAGCAUGGAAUAAUGGAAUAGGACUACGGUCUCUUUGUUGGUUUGAGGGACUGCAGUAAUGAUUAAUAGGGAUAGUUGGGGCAUUAGUAUUUAAUUGUCAGAGGUGGAAUUCUCGGAUUUGUUAAAGACUAACUUAUGCGAAAGCAUUUGCCAAGGAUGUUUUCAUUA